GGCUGGUCCAGUGGUAGUGAGUUAUCAGAACUUAUUAACAUUAGUGUCACUAAAGUUGGUAUUCAACCCCCCACUGCUAAAUUUGACUGGCUUAAA
rnacentral:Y_RNA from 1 species